rnacentral:rRNA from 1 species
UACGGAGGGUGCGAGCGUUGUCCGGAAUCAUUGGGCGUAAAGGGCGCGUAGGUGGCGGGAUAAGCGUGCGGUGAAAGCUUGGGGCUCAACCCCGAGUCGGCCGUGCGAACUGUUCUGCUUGAGCACUGUAGAGGCAGGCGGAAUUCCGGGUGUAGCGGUGGAAUGCGUAGAGAUCCGGAAGAACACCGGUGGCGAAGGCGGCCUGCUGGGCAGUAGCUGACACUGAGGCGCGACAGCGUGGGGAG